CAUCAUGUAUCUUAUCUAAAAUUUUAAAUUUUUGUGCAUGCAUUAACACCUAACACGGAAGUUAGAAAACCACAAUAAUCAAGUUCAUUCACCUAAGCAAAAACAUUUAACUUGCACACUAUAAAAAUCCCUACCAUCCCAUUCAUUGUUCAUAUAAGCAUAAACAUACAACCUUCCAGAAACAUUCAGCCACAUGAAUGAGGAGAAUUAAGUUUUCGUUAGAUUCCAUUUUUUCAGAAAAUUGCAUCCAGUCAUGCCUUUAUUGUUUCAUCCCCAUCAGUGUAUAUUCUGUAACAUUUAUCUUAUAUAUAUGCUUUCGAGUUCAAAAAUUGUAUUGAGUUACUUUUUAUUUGUGGCAUGAAGGACUCAGGAUCAUUUCUUGAGAGAAGAGUUACUGGAUUACGUAGAGUAAGGAUACUAAACAAAAAUGAUGCCGAAGAUUUCACAGACUAUACAUGGGGAUACCAGGUUCAUUUCUUAUAUCUAUAUUUGUAUUUUCAAUCUGUAAUGCUUUAUUUAUCCACAAAUUAUAUUUUCAUAUUAUUCUUUCAUAUCAAGUGCUCACUCAAAGAUUGUCAUAACCCAUUUUUCAUCUACAAAGUUUAUAACUAAUGAGAUUAUGAUCUCGAACUAGCUAAUUCCAUGCAAUAAUUUCAUGGAGGUUGGGCUGUCAGGAGAGAAAUUAAAUAUUCACACAGAACAAGGGUCAAGUAAUAUUCAAUGGAGAAGGUUUGGAAACUCUAAUCAUCAAAGACUCACAUGGUACAAGACUCAAUUUGAUGCACCCAAAGGAAAUGACCCUGUUGCAUUAAACCUUGGUUCUAUGGGAAAAGGGGAAGCUUGGGUUAAUGGACAAAGUAUUGGGCAAUAUUGGGUCUCAUUUCUUACCCCAGAAGGGAGUCCUUCACAAACAUGUGGUAUGAUGAAGAUCAAAAAAGCAGAGUC